CAAAGGUAUACUAUUUUGAAUACUUACACACAUAUGUGCUUCGCUAAUUGACGCAAACCCGUUUUCCAUACUUUAAAAUAUGGAGAAUGUUGCAAUUUAUGUUAAAACUUUGAUAAAUGAGAACAUUUUGUGCAUUUCCGAGUGAACAAUGACAAAACAUAUUAUGUACAUGUAGCACGUUAAACAAACAAUUUUAAUAAGAUCAAUUAACUGUACUUUUACUUAGUUAAAGAAGUGCCUGUCGGCCGACUUGACCUUCUAAUAACUUGACAUUUCUUAUUUGUUUGAUUUUGAAAUGGAGGUAUUCGAAGUGGAUGCUGACAAGACAAUUUCAAAUGACCAGUAUUCUAAGCACGAAGUGUCCAAACCACAUGACAAAGUAAUCAAUUUAAAAGGACAAACAAAAUGUAAGAAAAGAAUUUUGAAAACUCAGAUUUCUCGGCAAACUAAUAAAUAAUGCAUAUCAUAUUAGAAUGAUGUUUUCGUUGGAAUAGCUUUAUAUAGCAUAUCGGAAUUUUAAGUGAUCCUCGGUUACACAUUAAAUUCAUAUAGGAUGUAAGCACCCAAAGAAGAAAACAUUAAAACCUCAUACAACUGUGUGGAAAGUCGUUGUAAUGUCUUGCACAUACGGAGAAGAAAAUGACAGGUAUAAGACCAGACAUUCGUCUUAUAUACAUAUCAUAUCAAAUGGAUUUCAAACAGUUCUAUAACUUUGAAUAAGCAAAACAUGACCCUCGCCAUUGUUAGUAUGGACUUAAAAUGUGUAUCUCCAAUCACGUGAAUUUGUCAUAUCUAUAAACAGGAAUAAUGGUUACAAAUGUAUCCAUCAUCGAAGAUCUAAAUGAAGUGCAAAACUCUACUAACCAAACAGCCGUACCUCGACAUGACAAUGGCUAUAUCGAUCGAAGUAUUCCUUCCUGGAUAUUGGUUUUGGUAAUACCAGUUGCAGUUACUAUUGUUGUUUGUUUGUGUGUGCUUAAAUUUAUUAACUCGCGAUUAACUCAUUGGCAGAAGUUCAAUGAUCGUGGAUGCAGUUAUGACGUCACUACUUAUCUUGUAAUUGAAAACGAAUAUGAGCAUGUGCAGGAUAAAGAACCGGUAAAAAGUGGAAUUCAGAGAAAGAUUGACGACAGAAUAUUGAAUGUUACAAAACAAUAUGCAAAUGAUGAGUGUUGUCAGAACAAUAAAUCUAAAGGGAAGGUAUGCAGGCGAAGAGCGGAAAAGUUCAGAAAAGUAGAUAUGAAAAAGAAAUUCAGCAAAAAUCCAGGAAUUCUUUAUGCCGUUAAUUCCUUGCGGAGCCAUAAAGAAAUACACCGAUCUUCUUUGAAACGUAAAGUGAAUGAUUCAUUUCCGGACAGUACACAUACCUACAAAUCUGCUUCAACAACGAGCUCUGACACGUCUGACGAUUCAUCGGUCUUUUAGCGAGAGUUUCCAAGACACCACGAUUGUUGUGAUAUCGGGAUACAAACGACAAGUAUUUUUGAACAUUUAUAGAGUGCAUUUGAUGUCGCAACAUAUUGAUUUUUAAAACAAAUUUAUGUUCCUGGUUGUUAUUCUUUAAAUAGUUUGUUUCUAAUUUAAGUUAAAAAAAAAAGAUUGUCGAAAGAAAAACUCAUCCCCAAUAAAAGAUAAAAAGUCGAUGACCAAUACGAUUACACAAAAAUAAUCAUUUUAAUUAAAAAUGUUUAGACAGUAAAGUUAUAAAUCCGCCAUAUUGCGUCAGAGGACGACAUUUUCGAUUCAUAACAUGAAAGGUGCACGCAUUUGACAUUAAAAAAAAUCUCGAGUUGUAUAUGCAUUCAUGGAAUUUAAUCAGCCUUAGCAUGGAGUUUCUUAUUGUGUAAUAUUAAGGCCUCGUUCGAGGUGUCGUGAUUUUAACAAUAAUUAUAAUUUUUGCCGAAAUAAUUAAUCUGAUCCUUAAUAAUAUGUUGUUAUUGUUGUAGAUAUUUUUAAACUAUGCUAAAAGUUGAUGUUUUCUUGCAUGGCGUCAACAAAUAAUCAUUUCACAAAUGGUUUGAUAUCGGGGUACAUUACCUCAGUCUAGAGAUCCGAUUUAGGGUUUUUGGAUUAUUUUUAACCAUCUUAUUACAGAUGGGCCUUUAAUGGCUUAUGAUUAGCAAUUGUAAGUUGCGUUACCUAGUCUAUGGUUUUGAUUUUUUUGUUAUUAAUUUCUAUAUUAAAAAUAUUUUCAAUAAAGUUUCUUCUUAUUUCA